ensembl:lncRNA
CCAUGGGUUACAAUAACACAUUUAGAGACAGUGCAAGCAUUGGCAUCUUUACACUGGCUAUAGAUUGAUUCCAUUAAGAAGGUUUAUGGUUCCUCCUUUCAACAAUCAAAUCCUUGCAUAUUGCUUCCGCAGGAAGUCAGACCAAUGUAACUGUGUGGACACCCGCUUUGUUAAAAGGAUGGGAAAACCUUCUCCUUGGAACCUUAGACGAAAAAUUGAUGGUUGAAAGAUUUCAUAUGAAACAUACAACAAAAACCUCAAGGGUUGUUUUCUGAGGUUUUGGCCACAAAUAGUGCUUGAAGCUUU